rnacentral:rRNA from 1 species
UACGUAGGGUGCAAGCGUUGUCCGGAAUUAUUGGGCGUAAAGAGCUCGUAGGCGGUCUGUCGCGUCUGCUGUGAAAACUCGGGGCUUAACCCCGGGCCUGCAGUGGGUACGGGCAGACUAGAGUGCGGUAGGGGAGACUGGAAUUCCUGGUGUAGCGGUGAAAUGCGCAGAUAUCAGGAGGAACACCGGUGGCGAAGGCGGGUCACUGGGCCGUAACUGACGCUGAGAAGCGAAAGCGUGGGGAGCGAACAGG